AACAGAACAAACACAAUGAGAAACCAGAGGAUCUGUCAGAGAGCAUUGUGGUGAGGUUUGCAGAUUCACAUCACACACCAGCAACCGUGCACAGCUGGAUUGGAGAAAAAUGGCUUCUCAUCUUCACCUGUUUUUGGGAUUGGCUCUUUUAGGUUCACAGUACUCGUUUGGACAUGAAUGCCCCAAUGCUGAAAGGGGCACUGACUGUGCGACUUGUAUCUCAUUGGGCCCUGACUGUGCCUGGUGCAAAUACAAGUAUUUUGAUGAUAAUAAAUCUCUACGCUGUGGAACACGGAUGAGUCUGCGGGAGAAAGGCUGUUCAGAGAAGGACAUUGUAGACCCAGAGAGUGAGCACACGGUGGCUGAGGAGGGAGAGAAGCUGAACCCACAGAGGAUCAAACUGUACCUGAGGCCUGGGAAACCACACACAUUUCAGGUCCAGGCGAAGCUGCAAAGAAAACAGAAGCCAGUGGAUAUUUAUUUUCUUACGUCCCUCUCAGUGGACAACAGUGGCAUAAGAAACAGGGCAAAAGAUCUUGCAAAAAAAGCCAUUGAAGGCAUAUACGAGAGCAACGAAGAACUACGAAUAAAUACCAUAGGUUAUGGCUUGUUUGGGAACACGUUUGUCACCAACGAAAAGCAGAGAGAAUGUGAGGAGAGUGGCCAAGUCUGCAAACCGCAGCUCUACGUCACUCACUCCUCAACAGCCCCACACAACCCAUACAGUCCGUACCACCCAUGGCGAGGUGAAGGGGGGUUAGACGCUCUGAUGCAGGUGGUCCUGUGCAGGGAUGUGAUUCAUUGGGGACAGAACGACCAUAUUGUUGUAUACGCGACUGAUGAUAAUUUUAAGCUUGCACCAGAAACAGAAACAGGGAACACAGAAACAAUCAACAGCAACAUAUGUCAGAUGAACAACAGCCUCAUACGCACCACAAUGAGACCUCCAUCAAUGUCUGAGUUACGAAAAGUUCUGUUGGAAAACAACAUUCAAGUCAUUUUUGCUAUUAAAGAUCAUUUGUUUAAGGAAUAUGCGGAGCUAACUUCUAAACUGCCGAAAGCCAAAAUAUUUUGGGUGGACUUUUCGGACCCAAGCUCGGCCCCUUUUGAACAGGCCUUGAAGACAUUUAGGACCUCUUUGGUGUUGGCCCACUUGUCUGUGCCAGGACUCAACAUCACAUAUAAUCCUCUGUGUAGAGCAUUCAAUAGCGGUAACCUCCAAGGAAUAUGCUACCUCAAUGGCCAAGAAAUAAAGAAGAGUCAGACCUUCAAUGUGACUGUGUCCACUGAGUCUUGUGUGCUGCCUGCAUCCUUCGACAUCAAGAGUUUGGGUUCCCAAGACAACCUGACGGUAGAACUGACUGCUCGCUGUAACUGUGAAUGUGGUGACCAGCCUGAUCCUGAGUUCUGCAGCUAUGCCGGGAAUCCAGUUUGUGGCAAAUGCAGGUGUGAUGAAGGACACUUUGGCGCGUCCUGUGAGUGCUCGGUUUCUGAUGACGACAGUCCCUGCAGAAAGAGGCAGGGCGCACCUGUGUGUUCAGGUCGGGGGGUCUGUGUGUGCGGCCAGUGUGAUUGUCACAGAGAACUGAUGUCAGCCAACGCUCGGUUCUACGGGCGGUACUGUGAAUGUGAUGACUCCAACUGUGCCUUUUCCAAUGGAAUAAUUUGUGGAGGUAAUGGGAAGUGUAUAUGUGGAAAAUGCUUGUGUGACGAGGACUAUAAUGGGGAGGCAUGUCAGUGCUCCACUAAGGUGGAUCGCUGCCAGAGUCCCGAUGGAAACCUCUGCAGUAACCAUGGACUCUGUAAAUGCAACCAGUGCGUGUGUGAGUCAGUGUACAGAGGAGAUCUCUGCAAUGAGUGCUCCGUCUGCUAGGACAGCCACCAGGCCAGGGCCGUCUGCAGUCACUGACUCUCACGGGUAUGCACAGAUGGCGAAGGAAACCCUUCAACCCAGUUGAUGCUCAAGAAACAGUUUGCACAAGCUUAAAUCUUACAGUCGGCUGUACGAUGCCUACAGAUAGAGCUGUGAGGAUUUAAGCAAGGGACAGAGAGAUACCCUGCACAAUGAGCCCUGUGUCUGGCCGUGGUUUCAUUUGCACAAGAUCCAACCAGCAUGAGGUCAAUGAGUGAAAUGGGCCGAGGCGCCACGGUCAUCAGUCUACUGUUCAUGUAAAUUAGCACUGUACAGCUGGUUAAGGCUCCGAUGGGCAGCUACACAGUACAGUGACAGCAGCAGUGUAAUAAACCAUCACGUCCACUGGAACACCCACUUGCCAUAUCCAGGAUUCAUAUGAUAUUUUGACCAAAGCUAUUCACUCUGUUGGUCCAGAUAUGACCAAAACGUCCAAAUGUCAAUUUAAUUAGGUCUGAGGUUAAAGAAUGCAUAACAUGCAUUCAAAUGAUAUAAAACAGGACUUUACCAAAUAUAUUACAAUAAAGGCUACUUGUA